rnacentral:rRNA from 1 species
UACAGAGGUCUCAACCGUUGUUCGGAUUCAUUGGGCGUAAAGGGUGCGUAGGCGGUCGCGCAAGUCGGAUGUGAAAUCUUAGGGCUCAACCCUGAAACUGCAUUCGAUACUGCGUGGCUCGAGUACUGGAGAGGAGACUGGAAUUUACGGUGUAGCAGUGAAAUGCGUAGAGAUCGGGAGGAACACCAGUGGCGAAGGCGGCUACCUGGACCAGCACUGACACUGAGGCACGAAAGCGUGGGGAGCAAACAGG